CGACGAAACUUCUUUAUCACCGAGUGCUUGCACUCACCGAUAAAGAGUUGAGUGGCGAACGGGUGAGUAACACGUGGGCAACCUGCCCAAAAGAGGGGGAUAACACUUGGAAACAGGUGCUAAUACCGCAUAACCAUAGUUACCGCAUGGUAACUAUGUAAAAGGUGGCUAUGCUACCGCUUUUGGAUGGGCCCGCGGCGCAUUAGCUAGUUGGUGGGGUAAAGGCUUACCAAGGCAAUGAUGCGUAGCCGAACUGAGAGGUUGAUCGGCCACAUUGGGACUGAGACACGGCCCAAACUCCUACGGGAGGCAGCAGUAGGGAAUCUUCCACAAUGGGCGAAAGCCUGAAGGAGCAACGCCGCGUGGGUGAAGAAGGUCUUCGGAUCGUAAAACCCUGUUGUUAGAGAAGAAAGUGCGUGAGAGUAACUGUUCACGUUUCGACGGUAUCUAACCAGAAAGCCACGGCUAACUACGUGCCAGCAGCCGCGGUAAUACGUAGGUGGCAAGCGUUAUCCGGAUUUAUUGGGCGUAAAGGGAACGCAGGCGGUCUUUUAAGUCUGAUGUGAAAGCCUUCGGCUUAACCGGAGUAGUGCAUUGGAAACUGGGAGACUUGAGUGCAGAAGAGGAGAGUGGAACUCCAUGUGUAGCGGUGAAAUGCGUAGAUAUAUGGAAGAACACCAGUGGCGAAAGCGGCUCUCUGGUCUGUAACUGACGCUGAGGUUCGAAAGCGUGGGUAGCAAACAGGAUUAGAUACCCUGGUAGUCCACGCCGUAAACGAUGAAUGCUAAGUGUUGGAGGGUUUCCGCCCCUCAGUGCUGCAGCUAACG
rnacentral:rRNA from 1 species